rnacentral:rRNA from 1 species
GACGAACGCUGGCGGCGUGCUUAACACAUGCAAGUCGAACGGAGCACCUGUGAUUGAGGUUUCGGCCAAAUGAUCAGGUUGCUUAGUGGCGGACUGGUGAGUAACGCGUGAGGAACCUGCCUUUCAGAGGGGGACAACAGUUGGAAACGACUGCUAAUACCGCAUGACGCAUGACCGGGGCAUCCCGGACAUGCCAAAGAUUUAUCGCUGAAAGAUGGCCUCGCGUCUGAUUAGAUAGUUGGCGGGGUAACGGCCCACCAAGUCGACGAUCAGUAGCCGGACUGAGAGGUUGACCGGCCACAUUGGGACUGAGAUACGGCCCAGACUCCUACGGGAGGCAGCAGUGGGGAAUAUUGGGCAAUGGACGCAAGUCUGACCCAGCAACGCCGCGUGAAGGAAGAAGGCUUUCGGGUUGUAAACUUCUUUUGUCAGGGAACAGUAGAAGAGGGUACCUGACGAAUAAGCCACGGCUAACUACGUGCCAGCAGCCGCGGUAAUACGUAGGUGGCAAGCGUUGUCCGGACUUACUGGGUGUAAAGGGCGUGUAGGCGGGACUACAAGUCAGAUGUGAAAUACCGGGGCUUAACUCCGGGGCUGCAUUUGAAACUGUAGUUCUUGAGUGCCGGAGAGGAAAGCGGAAUUCCUAGUGUAGCGGUGAAAUGCGUAGAUAUUAGGAGGAACACCAGUGGCGAAGGCGGCUUUCUGGACGGUAACUGACGCUGAGGCGCGAAAGUGUGGGGAGCAAACAGG